rnacentral:rRNA from 1 species
GACGAACUCUGGCGGCGUGCUUAACACAUGCAAGUCGAACGGUAAGGCUCCAGCUUGCUGGGGUACACGAGUGGCGAACGGGUGAGUAACACGUGGGUGACAUGCCCUGCACUUCGGGAUAAGCCUGGGAAACUGGGUCUAAUGCCGGAUAGGACCGCACCGUGAGGGUGUGGUGGAAAGUUUUUUCGGUGUGGGAUGGGCCCGCGGCCUAUCAGCUUGUUGGUGGGGUAAUGGCCUACCAAGGCGGCGACGGGUAGCCGGCCUGAGAGGGUGGACGGCCACAUUGGGACUGAGACACGGCCCAGACUCCUACGGGAGGCAGCAGUGGGGAAUAUUGCACAAUGGGCGGAAGCCUGAUGCAGCGACGCCGCGUGGGGGAUGACGGCCUUCGGGUUGUAAACUCCUUUCACCAUCGACGAAGGGUUUCUGACGGUAGAUGGAGAAGAAGCACCGGCUAACUACGUGCCAGCAGCCGCGGUAAUACGUAGGGUGCGAGCGUUGUCCGGAAUUACUGGGCGUAAAGAGCUCGUAGGUGGUUUGUCGCGUCGUCUGUGAAAUUCCGGGGCUUAACUCCGGGCGUGCAGGCGAUACGGGCAUAACUUGAGUACUGUAGGGGAGACUGGAAUUCCUGGUGUAGCGGUGAAAUGCGCAGAUAUCAGGAGGAACACCGGUGGCGAAGGCGGGUCUCUGGGCAGUAACUGACGCUGAGGAGCGAAAGCAUGGGGAGCGAACAGGAUUAGAUACCCUGGUAGUCCAUGCCGUAAACGGUGGGCGCUAGGUGUGGGUUUCCUUCCACGGGAUCCGUGCCGUAGCUAACGCAUUAAGCGCCCCGCCUGGGGAGUACGGCCGCAAGGCUAAAACUCAAAGGAAUUGACGGGGGCCCGCACAAGCGGCGGAGCAUGUGGAUUAAUUCGAUGCAACGCGAAGAACCUUACCUGGGCUUGACAUAUACAGGAUCGCGCCAGAGAUGGUGUUUCCCUUGUGGCUUGUAUACAGGUGGUGCAUGGUUGUCGUCAGCUCGUGUCGUGAGAUGUUGGGUUAAGUCCCGCAACGAGCGCAACCCUUGUCUUAUGUUGCCAGCACGUUGUGGUGGGGACUCGUAAGAAACUGCCGGGGUUAACUCGGAGGAAGGUGGGGAUGACGUCAAAUCAUCAUGCCCCUUAUGUCCAGGGCUUCACACAUGCUACAAUGGUCGGUACAGUGGGUUGCCAGUCCGUGAGGGCGAGCUAAUCCCGCAAAGCCGGUCUCAGUUCGGAUCGGGGUCUGCAACUCGACCCCGUGAAGUCGGAGUCGCUAGUAAUCGCAGAUCAGCAACGCUGCGGUGAAUACGUUCCCGGGCCU